rnacentral:lncRNA from 1 species
UCCUACCAAACUGAUAUCUCCAAAUGCCAUCUCGGAGAAAUUGCCAAAGACAUUUCCAUAGGCACCAUCCUCAUCACCACCAUCGCCAUUAUUCUCGACGACAUUACCAUCAUCAUAGAAGAUCCCAUUCCCACUCUACAAUAACUAUCCAAAUCCUGAUGACCAACCCACAUCACUUCCUUACCAUUUACAUCUCAUCCUCAUCAAGCAACUCUCUCCAAACUCAAAAGCAAAGACAUACUCCUCUUCCUGCUCAAACUCCACCACCAGUUCGAUAGCUAAGUCAUCCAGAAGAUCAACAUUCGACAACCAACACUCCUGUUCACCAGCAACAACAGCAUUCACCAGAAGAUCAGCAUUCAGCAGUUCAUCAACAGCCAGCACCAUCCAUUCCUCUAAUUCCUCCCGAAUUUGAAAAUGUGUAUAGAGGCAGGCUAGGAUGUAGAAGAAGCACACCACCGCUACAGCAGUUAAAACAACCCGGCACUCCAUCUAGCACCAGUUCAUCAUCUAGUCCAAAAACUUUAGCCUCUAAGAGACAGCACAUAUAAACAGAUGCUACCUACUCCCCACCAUCAAG